GUGUGGUCACUGUAGUGUAACAGAGGUUUUUGUAUGACGGCUUCAUUAGAAUGUAUCACUGUGGUGGCCUUUCGGUGGAGGAACCAAACUCAUCAUCACCGGUCCCGCGGUGAAGCCCUCCGUGUCUCUGCUCCCUCCCUCCUCUCUGCAGCUGUCUGAGGGAUCGGCCUCGCUGCUCUGCCUGCUGUCUGCCUACUCUCCACAGGGGGCGCUGGUGAGCUGGACAGUGGACGGCUCCCAGGUGAAGGACGGGGUUCUGACCAGCGCAGAAGAACAGAAGAAGGACGGUUACACACGCAGCAGCACCCUGACCCUCAGCAAAGCACUCUGGGAAAAGGGGGAGGAGUUUGUCUGUACGGUCUCCCAUGCCGGCGUCAAUCAUCCGGUCACGUUCAGAAAGAGCCAGUGUGAAGCCUAACAGCUCCAAGAUACAAUUUAACACUGAGCUGCUUACACAUCCAUCUACAAUAGAGUUUCAGUUCUACACAAUGCUGACAUUUCUGUCUUUACUCUCUUCACUGUCCUGUUGCUCUUCCUGUAGUUUUGCUCUGCUGAAAUAAAGCUUCAUUUUGGA